GAUGAGACCUUCAGUUUGUGCCCACACUCAUUUGCAGCAACCCUAACAGAGAUUGCGAAGAUUUUCAAAGUGGGGCACCUCGAUUUCUCGAAUCUGUGGUGUGGCGAAUAUCCGUGUUCCUCCUGCUUAACUAGCCUGUUUGAAGGCACAGUUCAUUCUCGAGCAAUUCGUCACCUCCUGGGGGUCUUCUCUUCCCGUCUACAGGAGAGUGUGACUUCAGAAAGAACUUCGGAUUGGCCAAGGCAGGUCUGAUUCUAUUUAUUCUAAAGACAGAGUUGGAGAUGGGCUACCAUUGGUGUUGAUUGAGAUGACAAGCAGUCACCUGAGCCCAUACAGCUGGCUUCACAGAUGUGGCUAGUCUUGCUAGCCAGCUCGCACUGUGGAAAUUCUAGGGAACUGACUGUAGUCCUCAUGCUUGGAGUCAAACACUUUAACCACUGCACACGUUUAUGUAAUAGGAUUGACAUAUGAGAAUCAGAGAAAUGAAUGAAAGAUUAGAGUGAGAGAAAGUGCUUGCUGCCAAGCUUGAUGACCUAAAUUGAAUACCUGGAACCUACACGACAGAAAGAGAGAGCUGACUGCUGAAAGAUGUCCUCAGAUCUUCACAUGUGCACAGUGGCACCUAUCCAACCAUGCACAUAGUAUAUUAAAAAUUAUUUUUUAAAAAA
ensembl:processed_transcript AV026068 expressed sequence AV026068